rnacentral:rRNA from 1 species
AACGAACGCUGGCGGCAGGCCUAAAACAUGCAAGUCGAACGGCAGCACGGAGCUUGCUCUGGUGGCGAGUGGCGAACGGGUGAGUAAUAUAUCGGAACGUACCCAAGAGUGGGGGAUAACGUAGCGAAAGUUACGCUAAUACCGCAUACGAUCUAAGGAUGAAAGUGGGGGAUCGCAAGACCUCCUGCCUCUGGAGCGGCCGAUAUCUGAUUAGCUAGUUGGUGAGGUAAGGGCUCACCAAGGCAGCGAUCAGUAGUUGGUCUGAGAGGACGACCAGCCACACUGGAACUGAGACACGGUCCAGGCUCCUACGGGAGGCAGCAGUGUGGAAUUUUGGACUAUGGGGGCAACCCUGAUCCAGCAAAACCGCGUGAGUGAAGAAGGCCUUCGGGUUGAAAAGCUCUGUUGUCAGGGAAGAAACGGUGAGGGCUAAUAUCCUUUGCUAAUGACGGUGCCUGAAGAAUAAGCAACGGCUAACUACGUGCCAGCCGCCGCUGUAAAAC